UAUCUCUGGAACCUGUGUGCUCUCU
rnacentral:piRNA from 1 species